rnacentral:rRNA from 1 species
AGCGUUGUUCGGAAUUACUGGGCGUAAAGGGCUCGUAGGCGGCCAACUAAGUCAGACGUGAAAUCCCUCAGCUUAACUGGGGAACUGCGUCUGAUACUGGAUGGCUUGGAUUUGGGAGAGGGAUGCGGAAUUCCAGGUGUAGCGGUGAAAUGCGUAGAUAUCUGGAGGAACACCGGUGGCGAAGGCGGCAUCCUGGACCAAUAUUGACGCUGAGGAGCGAAAGCCAGGGGAGCAAACGGG